rnacentral:rRNA from 1 species
CCUGCGGAGGAUCAUUACCUAGAGUUGCGGGCUUUGCCUGCCAUCUCUUACCCAUGUCUUUUGAGUACCUUACGUUUCCUCGGCGGGUCCGCCCGCCGAUUGGACAAUUUAAACCACUUGCAGUUGCAAUCAGCGUCUGAAAAAACUUAAUAGUUACAACUUUCAACAACGGAUCUCUUGGUUCUGGCAUCGAUGAAGAACGCAGCGAAAUGCGAUAAGUAGUGUGAAUUGCAGAAUUCAGUGAAUCAUCGAAUCUUUGAACGCACAUUGCGCCCCUUGGUAUUCCAUGGGGCAUGCCUGUUCGAGCGUCAUUUGUACCUUCAAGCUUUGCUUGGUGUUGGGUGUUUGUCUCGCCUCUGCGCGCAGACUCGCCUCAAAACAAUUGGCAGCCGGCGUAUUGAUUUCGGAGCGCAGUACAUCUCGCGCUUUGCACUCAGAACGACGACGUCCAAAAGUACAUUUUUACACUCUUGACCUCGGAUCAGGUAGGGAUACCCGCUGAACUUAA